rnacentral:rRNA from 1 species
UAAUACAGAGGGUGCGAGCGUUGUCCGGAAUCACUGGGCGUAAAGGGUGAGUAGGUGGCCUGUUAAGCGUGUGGUGAAAGCCUGGGGCUCAACCCCAGGUCUGCCGUGCGAACUGACAGGCUUGAGCAGAGUAGAGGCGAGUGGAAUUUCGGGUGUAGCGGUGGAAUGCGUAGAUAUCCGAAAGAACACCGGUGGCGAAGGCGACUCGCUGGGCUUUUGCUGACACUGAAUCACGACAGCGUGGGGAGCAAACAGGAUUAGAUACCCUGGUAGUCCACGCCGUAAACGAUGGGUACUAGGCGUCUGGGGGAGCGACCCCCUGGGUGCCGGCGCUAACGCAUGAAGUACCCCGCCUGGGGAGUACGGCCGCAAGGCUG